rnacentral:rRNA from 1 species
CGUUAAUCGGAAUUACUGGGCGUAAAGCGCGCGUAGGCGGCUUUGCAAGUCGGGUGUGAAAUCCCCAGGCUUAACCUGGGAACUGCAUUCGAGACUGCAUUGCUAGAGUAUGGGAGAGGGAAGUGGAAUUUCCGGUGUAGCGGUGAAAUGCGUAGAUAUCGGAAGGAACAUCAGUGGCGAAAGCGACUUCCUGGACCAAUACUGACGCUCAUGUGCGAAAGCGUGGGGAGCAAACAGG